rnacentral:rRNA from 1 species
AUUGACCGCUGGCGGCAGGCCUAACACAUGCAAGUCGAGCGAGCGGCGGACGGGUGAGUAAUGUCUGGGAAACUGCCUGAUGGAGGGGGAUAACUACUGGAAACGGUAGCUAAUACCGCAUACCAUCAGAUGUGCCCAGAUGGGAUUAGCGAGGAGGUGGGGUAACGGCUCACCUAGGCGCCGAUCCCUAGCUGGUCUGAGAGGAUGACCAGCCACACUGGAACUGAGACACGGUCCAGACUCCUACGUGAGGCAGCAGUGGGGAAUAUUGCACAAUGGGCGCAAGCCUGAUGCAGCCAUGCCGCGUGUGUGAAGAAGGCCUUCGGGUUGUAAAGCACUUUCAGCGGGGAGGCGUUACCCGCAGAAGAAGCACCGGCUAACUCCGUGCCAGCCGCCGCGAUAAUAC